rnacentral:lncRNA from 1 species
UGAAAGCUUUUCUUUUUUUCUUUUUUUCCGUUGCCUGAAAUGGAAAUGCCACGUGAUGGUCCCUACAACUUUGAUUGUUGGACAAAUAAUUUCACUAUUUUAUGAAAAUAAGGGAAGAAAUUACAAAAAACCAGAAAAAAGAAGAAGAUUAAUUACGUCGACAAAAUUGUUAUAAUUUAUAGAUAUUACUUAUUAUAUGCAGGAAUGAACAAGUGUCAUAACGACAAGUUGCAAAAUGGAUGCCUUGAUUGUGAGGGAAAGUCUAGGUUGAAAAGUUAACAUGGGGCAUCAUUCUCCUAAAAAGUAUCUUUUGUGAGGACCACAAGAAUGGGAGGAAGUUGAUUUCCAAAUG